rnacentral:lncRNA from 1 species
CAAAGACACCGAAGAAUCCGAUGACGGUUGCGAUAUCAUAGUCCCAAAGCUUCUUCCAAAUCUCUUCUCCGCUUAAACUCCCAACUUCGGCACUAAACACAAGCACAAGAACCGGUAUCGUCGCCAAGUAAACCGCAUGGUUUAUGAGGUAGUGAUAACCAAGUUUCACGUACUUCAAGUUCACGGAUUGAAGAAAAUCCGGUAAACGUCUCCGGACUCUGACCGAGAACGUUGGUGAACCGGCGUUUGGACCGGAAGGUUCGAUCCCACGGUUAACAAUCUCGGUAGAGAGUAGAUCUUGUUCGCUAGACCUACUCAUUUCUUCUUUGUUUUGGAGAUAAGUUUUUGUGAGUGAGAUCUAGUGUUUGAUGAAGGUAUAUUUUUAUAAGGAGUUGUGUUGGCAAAAAGAUGUAAAUGUGAGUUUGUGUAGUUAUAUGCGAGUAAUGGUAACAUUGGUUGGAUUGGGUUUGGUGAUAGGUGAGAGGUAGUUAAUGUCGCCAACUACUCGUACUGGUCGUAGUUGGAGUGAGUUAUGUCACUCUUAAUACCUCCGUUCAAAGAACGUGUAGUUUGGGAUCUUAUGUUUGCAUUUAUUACAUUCUUGUAGUAUGUGAAGGAAGGACUAUGCUAGGUGAGCACCUUUUCUUCUGUUGAGAAUUUGUCAACUUUGAUUUCCGGAUCACUCCUGUUAUAUUGAUGGUAUUAUCGAUGUAUGUUUUCUCAAUAUUUUGCUAAAUUAUUUGGUUUUAGAUUUAACCUAACCAAGAUCGAUAAGUUUUAAAAAUAAUUUGAUUUGGUUCGACAUUUUGGGUGUCUCAGAGCAUCCAUCUAACUAAACCGGUUAUAACCUAAAUGAUGGUUUGGUUCAGAUUCAUUAUAUUACCAGUCCGGUUCCUAUUGAACUCAGCGAUUAUACUAUGGUUGUAAAUAAAUUUGGGUUUUCAAAAAUAAAUUAUAAGUCAAACCGGUUACCAUAAUAUCACGUGAUUUAAGACAAGGUUUGAUGUGUGAAGACGUACCUUAAGUUCAUCGGAAGGCUUGAAACAAGCGAAGUCAAUGAGAUAAACAGAUCGUGGACGAGACAUGAAGUAGACGCAAACGGUCAAGACAAAGACACCGAAGAAUCCGAUGACGGUUGCGAUAUCAUAGUCCCAAAGCUUCUUCCAAAUCUCUUCUCCGCUUAAACUCCCAACUUCGGCACUAAACACAAGCACAAGAACCGGUAUCGUCGCCAAGUAAACCGCAUGGUUUAUGAGGUAGUGAUAACCAAGUUUCACGUACUUCAAGUUCACGGAUUGAAGAAAAUCCGGUAAACGUCUCCGGACUCUGACCGAGAACGUUGGUGAACCGGCGUUUGGACCGGAAGGUUCGAUCCCACGGUUAACAAUCUCGGUAGAGAGUAGAUCUUGUUCGCUAGACCUACUCAUUUCUUCUUUGUUUUGGAGAUAAGUUUUUGUGAGUGAGAUCUAGUGUUUGAUGAAGGUAUAUUUUUAUAAGGAGUUGUGUUGGCAAAAAGAUGUAAAUGUGAGUUUGUGUAGUUAUAUGCGAGUAAUGGUAACAUUGGUUGGAUUGGGUUUGGUGAUAGGUGAGAGGUAGUUAAUGUCGCCAACUACUCGUACUGGUCGUAGUUGGAGUGAGUUAUGUCACUCUUAA